AUUUCUAAUGUAACUGAACCAAAUAGUGCAGUAUCCUCUUCCAAACAGUAUCUGUACCCAUUUUCACUUUUUCAUUACUCCCAAUAUCCUCUUCCAAACAGUAUUUGUACCCAUUUUCACUUUUUCACUUUUAUUUUUUCUUUCUCUCACGUUCAGUUCCCUUUCGUUUUUUCUCAGAUUGCUUUUUUCUUCCUUCUCCCUCUCCUUCUUCCUUCUCCCUAUUCUUCUUCCUCCUUCAUCUUCUUCUUACUUCUCCAUCUCCUUCUUCAUUGUUAUUAUUGAGUUUCAUACAAGUUCGAUUUUGAUUUUGAUUUGGUGUUUGUUGUUUCAGGUUUGGUGGUGUUGACUCACGCGAAAGGGGGAAGCUUCGUUGACGGUGCGGUUAUUUGAACAUAUGAUCUACGAAAUUAUGGCGGUGGAUAUGACGUUUCCGGCGAUAGGCGGUUUGAUAGUGGUAUACUAUAGUAGCGGCAACACGUUUUUUAACGGAGGGUGUGGUGGUUGGAUUCAAAAUUAUUUUUGUGUGAAUUUUUUGUCAGAUCUGUCAUGAGGUUUGAAAGCUUGCUUUCCCCCAGUUUGUGUCUGCAGCGCUGUUACCGGCAUGGAAAACAUUGCAAUUUUGCUGUGAGAAGUUAUACAUCUUAUGUAUUCAACUUACUAAUCUCUAGCUUUUGUUAUGACAAAAUUUGUUUACAAAAUAGCAUCUUAUGUAUUCAACUUACUAACUUGUAGCUUUUCCUUCUAGAAAUUUUAGAUUGAUUCCGACAAGUCGGUAGUCGAAUUAAAAAUUCACUAUGAAGAUUUGGUUCAUGAUGUAUUCCAAAUUGAUUCAGAUCAGGUUGAGGUUCUGAGCUACAUCAAGAUACAGGUGGUCAAUAGUGGUUCAUUUUCUGAACGGGAUUGUUCUAAUGAAAUUUCGUUUAGUUUGAAGUUUAAACAUGGUGGUCUUAAUGAGACUAAUAAAAGAACAACAUGGACUGGAGAAUAACAUAGGUAUCUGAAAUAUUUUACUUCAAUUUAGGUUUUUAUUGUGUACUAUUGUCUACGUUUUGCAACUCACGCGUCACGUGUUUGACAAAAUGUUUCAACUGGUUUCUUUCUGCUAACUAUUAAUUACUUUGUAGCCUGUCUCAUGUAGCUGUAUUGAUAGUGCUUGAUACGGGAAGUGAGAUUAGUCAUAGAGAAACCUGAUUGAUAAAAGCAGUGGUCUAUUUCUUACACGAGCAGUCCUCCCGUAAUCUUCAGGAACAUGAAAACCAUUAUUUUUGGGUGAACCUUUAUUCUUUGUUCAUGACUAAAGGUUCAGUAAAUAAUGUAAUAUUUCUCUUUCAGUACAUGCAGAACAUUAGGGAAGCAGCGUUUUCCAUCAAGAAGAUGCCCUUGAUCAAGGAUAAAAAGUUAUUUGGAAGGUGUUCUUGCCCACAAAAAAACCAUUCCAUUCAGACGUUUUUGCCAUGGUGUUGGCAGGACAGCCCAGGCCAAGAACAGACAUUCCAAUGGGCAAGGAUGGUGGCCUGCCAAAACUGAAAUGAGAAAUAGUUAUCACCACAAUGCUGGAAAUUUAUAAAGGCCAGUUGCUAAGGCAUUUAGUGGAAGGGAAAAGGAUGCCGUUGAUGCCAAAUCGACAGUUUAAGACUUUUAUUUUUGCACUGUUUAAUGAGAAUUUGAAACAUGGCUCAAUUACUGGUGUUGCUUAUGAAAGACUGGAGUUAGGUAUGGUUUUUGGCUUGUAUUUGUACUUUUCUAAUUUCUUGAGCUCAUUGUAUUAUUGCUUACUCAGUGAGUAAUUAUUGAAUUAAGAGUUGAUUAAAUGGAAAAGGUAUUUUUGAAAAAAUUAAGACCUUAUUAUUACCCUCACACAUUGAGAAACUCUUUAUAAUAGUUUUAUGGGAUGUUGAUAGUAUUUGAUUAUUUGUAUAAUCUCAUUAAGGUUUUUUUAACUACAUGGCGUCGGGAUGUAACUAUCAGUCAUGUUGAGGGUCCUGCUAGGAUGUUGAUAUUACACUCACCUUUCUGGAGAGAAGCUCCUGCUGCUCAUUUUUCUUAUUAUGAAUCUUCUGAGACUUUACCUCCUGAUAGUGUGCCAAAAAAUGAAUGCUUUCGUUCUGUUAUUCGGGAGCCUUAGAGUUUUCUUAUCGAUGAAAAAAUAAUGUCAAAACGCCAUGUGACAGCAUCUUCCAAGUGCACAUUCAAUCUGCUGAUCAGGAAACAUAUUCAACGGUUUCUUCCUCGAAACAAAAUUCAAAAACAAGAUUUGCAUCUAAUGAUUGCGAUGUAGUGAUUUGCAUCUGAUCAGGAAACACACCUCAGUAUGCACUAAGAGGAAAAUAAGUUGAUUUGAAAUUGCAUUUUGUUUAUGUCUCCUAAACUAUGUUUCUCGCAUAAUUUGAAAUCAACUUCCACGUCUCAUUUUUUCAUUAUUUUUUAUUCGUUUUUCAGGCACUCGGUGUUUCUCUGGAUAGGCUCGUCGAAGCAGCUGAUUCGACUUCAAUAUGUUCUUCCUUUCUUUUCCUAUUUUAACUGUGAUUCAACAUUGCUUCUGUCUUUGGCAGUGUUUAUUACCUGUUAAACUUAGUUCCUUUCUAAAUCUUAUUGAGUAGUAAUCAUUCUAACUGUAUGAUUCGUUUGACAAUAUUAAUUAGGUUUUCCUAUCUAAAGGCAUAUAUGCUCCUAUUGGAUCUGUUAUUGUUGUUUUUUUAAUUUAGCUUUUUACUUAGAAAUUUUAUAUACUCAGUUUUUGAAAUUGAUCACCUUGUAUUGUUGUUAUAUGAGCUUUCAAUUUCAUUUGACUAUGAAGGAGGAGUUGCUUGAGUGCCCAACAUCCAAAUUGUGAUUCUGGGAAACUACCUUGAAGUUAAAGAUUCAAGUUGCCAUGCUGCCAGCAAUUAUUUUUCAUUGAUUAUAGUCAAAUUUCUAUUUUUAAUGUAUACAUUGUUGUCUAGAUCAUCUUUUGAUUGUGUGCAAUGGUUUUUUAGCUUUUAUCAUGUACUACAUUGUUCUUUUAGGCAAAACUGUCUUGUACUAAAAAUAUUAAUAGUAAUUGAAAAGGUUUAUUUAAUCUGUAAAAUAAAUGGAUAGUGUAUUUCAAUUAAGUAUCUUUCUUUGGUUCACAUGAAGUAGAUUGUGGAUUUCUUUUUUUUCUAAUUAAAAUAGAAUAAAAAUUCUUGCACAACAUUUAAUCCUUGGCUGGAUCUAGUGAUAUCAAUUGGUUUCUAUGAAUAUUUCACUAAAACGCAGCCAUAUAGUAUUACUCCAUAAUUUGAUCACCUUAGCUCGAUAUCGUCGAUCAUUUUGGCCCAUAGUGUAUGAAAAUGUUGAAUGCCUUUCUAUAAAUUCUUUUAAGUGCAAUUCCAGACUAAUGAAAUUGAGCUUAUAAAAAUGUUUUAAAUUUUGUGUGUUUGUAAAGAAAGAAUAUGGUAGACACUUUGCCGCAUAG